AACGAACGCUGGUGGCGUGCUUAACACAUGCAAGUCGAACGAGAAAGUUUCCUUCGGGAAAUUAGUAAAGUGGCGCAAGGGUGAGUAUCACGUGAAUAAUCUGCCCUCGAGAUCGGGAUAACAUGGUGAAAACUAUGCUAAUACCGGAUAAGACCACAUUUCAUAAGAAAUGCGGUAAAAGGAGUCUCAAUCUUCACUCGAGGAUGAGUUCGCGCAACAUUAGCUUGUUGGUGAGGUAAAAGCUCACCAAGGCUACGAUCUGUAGCUGGUCUGAGAGGACGAUCAGCCACACUGGGACUGAGACACGGCCCAGACUCCUACGGGAGGCAGCAGUGGGGAAUAUUGCACAAUGGGCGAAAGCCUGAUGCAGCAAUGCCGCGUGUGUGAAG
rnacentral:rRNA from 1 species